GUUAGCACCGUGGAGCGUUUGGGAUGGGGAAAGGUGGUUAGGAGUGUCGGCGGUGUUCAGAGGGAGAAGGAGGUAGGAGGGGAGGGCGUAGGGUAGGGGAGAUGCGCCGCCGCCGCUGUCGUCGACACCCGCGCGUCGCCGUCCGCAUCCGCCCGCCACGUCCCUCCGCCUGCGCCAGCCCGGUGCCGCCGCCGUCCGCACCCACCGACGCCUUCCCGCGUCGCCUUCGCUCGUCGCGGCCCGCACGCGCCCCGCCGCGACCUCCCGCGCCCCGUCCCGCGCCGGCCGCGCACGCCACGCACUUGCUCCGCGCGUACCCCGCCGGUCCGCCCCGCUCGUCGUCGAACCGCCGUCAUCGCGCGCGCCAACCGCGGGUCUUCGUCGUCGCCCGAGCGCGCCCGCCGUGCCCCGCGCCGCACGUCUCGGCUGCCCGCCAUCGCCCGCCCCGUGUACGCCGGCCCGAGCACGCGCUCCGCGCCGGUCCCGCACCGGACUCCGCGGAUCCCAUCAACCACCACCGAGCGGAAGGCAGGAGCUCGGGGUGCGGGCAGGAAGAGAGACGUAGCGGAGGAGAAGGAGGGGAGGUCCGGAGAGGUGGCGCAGCAGUGUGGAUUUGUGGCCGCCCUACUCUCACUCCCGCCGCUCCCUCUCUCUCUGUCCUCCCCUAAGCACCGCGGUCCCCGAUACCGCCGCCGUUGUAACCCUUUCCGUCCCCUCCUCCUCCGUCACCGGCGACUACCUCUCCACGGAGAGGACGGUAGUUCUACGUAGGUCUUACCACUACUGCUCGCCGGCUAGUCACACCGGUACCAGAAUGCUUGCUGUCUCCGAAGAGAGGGGGGCGGAGAGGAGAACGGAGAGGAGGACGGAGAGGAGGUCCAGUGUCGACUUGGAGUAACCUUUCUCUAGCCGGACCAUGGAAAGGAGGGUGAGAGGAAGAAGAGGAGUACGGACCAUGUGAAGUCUAUACUCUAAUAACAACAACAUCGAAAAGUAAUAUUAAAAGAAAAUGAAGACAACUAGAUACAUUCUUUAAUCAAAAUAAACGGGUACUAUGACGACUUUUUGAACAAGUGAAGUUUAUCAUUUAGUAUAGGACAGUAAUAAGUUCUCCAUUUGACUCCUUUUCUUUCAUAGUUCUUUCGUUGGUAACACAUAUAUAGAAUCAUAUAUAAACGGGUAGCAAGAUGUUCUACGAUUAACGAAGUCGAAACCGAAUUGAACAACGAACCGAGGACUUUGACUCGUGUACAACCAUAAAGUAACAACAUGACCACAUACGUUCCCAAUAAAAGCACGUCUCCAAAACUUGACACUAAAAGAAGAGAAAGUUCAGAUUUCGUAAGCUGACUAUUAAAGUCCGUCCGUAAAGCUAAAAGACAGUACGAAGAUCUAUAGUUUGCACCGACUCUUUCAAGGUAAAAAUUUUCCCCGACCUCGAGGUACCGAAUGUCUAGAUUGCUGGGGACUACGAGAAACGUAUAAAGGGUACUAUUGUAGUUACAAGCAGUACGAAGGGAAACUCCUCGUCGUCCACGUCUACGCACACGCUCCUCGCGGCAGCCAGCUGGUCGCAAGAAAGAAGCAGUCCUUCCCACGUCGGACGAUGAGUUCGGGGAGAGGAAGCGAGGAACGUCUCGUCCUCUCCGUACCCGUGGUGGUGUGAACUCUCUACCUGCUCCUGUACUUCGAAAGCACCUCUCCUGCUCCACCGGCGGCGUCGUGGGGGUGCGGCGCCUGCGCCUCUAAGGGUAGGACAGACGGGGGCUAUUGGUGAAGCCGCCGCGGUACUUGCCUUUGUUAGCGGAGAAGUACCGUCCGCGUCUGGCGUACCAGCAGAAGGAGAGGCCGAAGAAGAUGUGGUAGUCUGAGUCUGGGAGAGGGCGAGGGAGAGGGAGACGUAGAGAUAUUUUUAUACGAGUCCAGUUGAUCCUCUACUACGUUCGGUUCCGCGAGUGUGGCUAAAUUCUACCACACCCACUAGUUAUCUUCUGUUUACUUAUGUGACUACCUUCCGGUACAGUUUCAUGGAAAGAUAAAACAUAAAAUAAAAACAAAUCCUAGAUGAUAUUAAAGGGUUUUUCAAAAAUAAGGACUUUAAGUAACAUGUAUGUACGAACCAAAAUGAAGUCAAUUAUAUAUUACCCGUAAGAUAUUAAUGAUUCUUGACUAUACACUCUCACACGGAGGGACAAAAACUUUUCUAUUGAUGAAAACCAAUAUCUAGUACUGAUCUAAUUCAUCCGAAUAUAUUAUUAAAAAGUAACAAGGUGAGUAUCUUUGAAUUGACGACGUUACAAUUAUGUAAUAUCAGUAGGAAGUGCUGGAACACUAACCGACGGUACAGACGCGUUAUAGGACACUGUACAGCAUACCAAUAAAAAACGUUGUUUCCAUGGAACACCAGUCGCCUGAACGGUUCCAUCGCCACAAACUGGAUCCCAACACCGGUAGUAAUACGAACUAGCGCUCUACCGUGAUAGGGGACGCAACAACACCAGUAACUACACCCUCCUUGCUAGCCAGUAGCGAGCUAGAGUUCUACUGGUACUGUGGAUCCGACACCAGUACACCGGCGGCGGCUGCCCCUUCGUAAGGGUAAUUAAGACUUAGACGUUCAAACCUUAGUAGAGGGGGUAAGUCGAUUCGAUGUGUAUAAAACGAAGAUAAAAAAAGAAAGAUCCAGAGCCUGGUAGAGGUAAGACCAUUUAUGGAGUAGUGUAUUUGCAGUAACCAGGGACCACACGGGUAAGGGAAGGAAUGAAAGAGGUAUAACCAAUACUACGUACCAGAGAAAGGUCGAUACUCUUUACUAUAUGACGUAUGACGUAUGAUUACUAUCCUAUCUACUAAAUACUACAUGAUAAAAUCUAUUGCCAUGAUUCAAAAAUAAGGUAUCUACUAUAAACCAAAAUAAGAUGUAAAAAAAGGAAACGUUUCUAUCUAUAAUAUUCUCUAUUUAUCGUACAUGUACAAUUGGAAAAAAACGCCCCUACAUGUCCAAUUGGAAUAUAUCGGAAAAAAUACUCGCUAUUAGAUUGUGAAUGUUCUAGUAGAAUCCUAAAGGAUUACCUAGGACAUGUGUAAGGUGGUUCCUAAUAAAAUCUACGAUACGACUUUCUGUGAUAUCGAGGGUUUUAGAAAUAUGAUGUGGGUCGGAUGUCCUUUGCAAUCAUAUCUCUGACACUGACUCAAAAUAGGUAAAGACGUCGUGAACGGUUUCUCGUGACAGUUCUCUAAACAAAAAGCCAGACUCAGUAGAACGAUGAAAAAGUCCAAAUAAAUGUAUACUUUAGUGGUAUUAAAAACGGUACCGAGACCAAGAUCUAUAUCACGAAUUUUCGUGAUAGGGUAGGACUAAUAAAGGUAUGUCAAAAAACAGAGUGACUUAUAGCAGAAGCUCUUGACCCGUUAGAAACUCAGGUACUUCUCGUGAGCGUGCCAGUUCGUGGUACUCUAGAAGUAGGCGUUGCGGCUCACGCAACACGAGAAGUGUCUGGAACUUCUACUCCGGUCUCUCUAGGCGGCGGAUGACCCAAGCUAGCCUACGGUAGCUAAAGUGGGUGGCGGUUACUGCUGUUCCGGCCACCGAAACCGUAACUCGCUAUAUGAAGUGGAGUGUGCACUUCUUUAUUCUAAAAACUCCUAAUCCUAAUAAUUACUUUAUAUUACUCGUAGAAAAUGGUGGUUACCGGAUACUUCAGAGUGGCAUAAUUCUGUGUACGUAGUGACAAUCAGUAGGUUCGUUUUGGUGUCAGUCUAUUUAGUCGAAUUAAUAAGAUGAUGAAGAAAGUCUACUGUCGACAAUUUGUUCUCCUCCAUCUGUGUUGGUCACUAUGGUCGCCACUGGUUAAUGGUUACCAUUAAGACUUUUUGUAUGAAUACUAACUAGUCAGAAAAAAAUAGUGAAUACGUACGUUCAACUAGUUAAUACAUUAUUUUGUUUAAGAAAGUCCCAGGUCAUCCACAAGACAAACGAUAAGUAAUUACGAGACUAAAUAAACGACAAUGUACAUUUUCGUGACGAAUGACGAAGGGUGACUGGUAUAUGUUAUCUAUCAGAAAAGAUAGAAAGUGCUCAUGUGUGUUCGAUUAAUCGGGGAGACAAACAAAUACAACAGGAGAUAAACGAUAACGUUUGAGAAUGGUACUAGAGGAAUAGAUAAGUUGUGUUUGCUUGGUGAACAGUCUUCGUGUUAUUCCGUAUGCUCAUUUAAGUAGCGGGUACCUUUCGUUUGAGUUAGGUUUUCAAGUUUCCGUUCUUUUAGGUACCAUUCUCGAUGUAAUGAGAAGAGUAAGGUAGUUGAGAGCGUUGUUGAUGAUUUUCUAUAUUGAAACAUGUUGAAUUGUAUCCACUCGGAACGUAGGUGAUGAAUCUACUCAAAUCAGUGGUGUAACACACCCGGUUGUGUCAAUUCGAGAUGUUGGUAUUACAGGCAUGUGACGCUUUCUAGUAGGCGUCGUGGUGGUGCGGACUAUUGAUGAUACACACGGUGUACUGUCUUUGUAAACGUUGUGUUCCGUUUUCUUACCAUCAGGAAACGUUAAUGAGACAGGCCAAAGUAUAUUAUCGUACCAUAUUUUACUAUAUCACUGAUUGGAAAUGAUAAUAAAAGUCAUGAAAUCGCAAGGAAAAAGAUCCCCAAGGUAAAGGGUGUGUACCUACGACUGGUACCACUUGACGGUUAGUGAUGACCUCUGCCUUGACGGCGACAGUGCCGGGCGAAAUAGUUCCCACAAGUGUUUUCCCGUUGGUAGUGACUUCCGACCUCGCUGAAGAAGGCAGUCCGUGUGUACUUGCUUCCCGUUCAUAUGCGAAAGCGGAAGUUUACGUGAAGGUUCCCUGACACGGACUAGCAGAUGAGUUAUAUUCGUUCAACGUUCUCGGGGAACAAUAUAUUGAAUCAUAAUCAUAUCUAUGGAUGGUUCUGAAGGCCCAAAUAGUAGGAAAACCUAGAAUACAUUAGGGGAUUCUGGUAGGACACGUAAAUCGAUAGCCAAUAAACGACGAAUCUGACGAUACACCAUACGAAAACUUUGUUGGAACUACCUUCUUUAUAUACGAAAGUAGAAAUUCACGUGUAGGUUUCUGGAAACGUACUAACAGAUAGGUUAGAUUUGUCUAGUUUUCUUAGUAAAAGAUGUACUGAAUAACUUAGUAAAGGUUAGAAUACAUGAUUGACGCAUAUCUUACUCGAUAAGAAAAGCUUAUUGUUAUACAAUUACGUACGAGAAUGUUAUUAAUCGAAUGUGAGUCGGAAACGCGGUAACCGCGUUGCCCAGUAGAUCACGUCUCUUGCUCACGCCGCCGGCUUCGGUCUGGGGAGGAGGAGAGCCUCCUGUGCCGGCCGCACGCGGUCACGCCGCUGGUGCUGCUCUUCUCGCGAUCAACUCUCGCCGGACCUGCUCCUGCCGCAGCCGCACCAUGUCGGCUGGUGCUGGGACUUCGACCCGCACGGCCGCUCGAUUGAGUAGGCAACACAAAAGUGGGCCAAAGUGGAGGACGACAACCUACGCUUUUCUUGCCGGAUGUGCGUAGUUGCAGGGAGCCGUCAUCAAAGAGGAUGCAGUCUCCUAGAGCAAGGGAGAGCCACAGACUUAGACCUCUACGUGGGUGCCUCGGCGGCAAGUUACUUACUCACGAAAUACGUUCCCUGUGUUUGUUCUCGGUCAACCCUUCCUGGUUCACUAAUAGUAACAGGCCUGUCAUGACUGUCUCUUUAGUGCGAACCUAAACAUGUCGACCAGGAACGGAAUUCGAGGUAAUUACUCACAUGCUUGUGACGUAAACGAUAGACAGAAGGACAAGAAUUUGUAGUUCGCGGAGAAGAAAAGAAAAAGAAAAAAACUCAGCUUCGCAUCCUAGCAGUAAAAGGGGAAAAAUAAAGGGCCACAGGAAAACGAUCACGAUACCGGGAGCCGGGCAAUCCUCCGGGUCCACCGGGGUUAGGUCAAAGAGCAACAACCUACGGUUAAGCUAAAA
rnacentral:rRNA from 1 species